CGGCCGCGGGCACAGUGAGGACGAAGCGCCGGGGCCCUGCCUGCGCCCCCACUCAGGGCGCCCUCGUCACGGCCGCGUCCUGUCCUCCGUGCGCUCCUAAUAGCUCCACGUCAGAGUUCCCGGUUUCAAUGGAUGAAUCCAAUGUGGAGACCAUAACCGCUGAAAGGAGUCCACAGAGCAAGUCUGAUGGUCCUGCUUCCUUGGGCAUAUUCUACCAGACGAAGGAGGACCUAUAAAAAUGAUUCCCUCUUGCUUACAAAGUUCAGCAAACUCCAUGUUUUCUGAAAGAAAACCGUAGCCUGGAUGGAUGGCCUGCAGGAGAGAAGGCACAGGU
ensembl:antisense Gm15952 predicted gene 15952